GACAGAGGUGGCAAGCGUUGUUCGGAUUUAUUGGGUGUAAAGGGUCCGUAGGUGGCCAUGUAAGUCUGGUGUGAAAUCCCACAGCUCAACUGUGGAACUGCACUGGAAACUAUAUGGCUUGAGUACUGGAGAGGUGAGGGGAAUUCUCGGUGUAAGGGUGAAAUCUGUAGAUAUCGAGAGGAACACCAGUGGCGAAGGCGCCUCACUGGCCGGUUACUGACACUGAGGGACGAAAGCUAGGGGAGCAAACAGG
rnacentral:rRNA from 1 species